GGCAGAGGAAGCUCAUCAGUGGGUCAACGUGCUGAGUGAUUCUCACUACCUGUCCCUGGGAAGGUCUGAUACUGGGGACUCCUGUGGCCCUAACAGGGCCCUCCCUGAAUGGGGAGGUGAGUUCCCAGAGAGCAGGGCUCUGUGUGUGGUCAGACUGAACAGGAUAGGUGCCAAGUGGGAGGAUACCUCCCUCACCAGAGCUUGGAACAGACUCACACAUGACUGAGAAACAAUAAGUGUUUGUGCUGAAAACUGGAUUUUGGAACUCUGAAAGAAUGCUGUUUUUAAUGAC
ensembl:ribozyme RNaseP_nuc Nuclear RNase P